GAUGAACGCUGGCGGCGUGCCUAAUACAUGCAAGUCGAGCGAACAGACGAGGAGCUUGCUCCUCUGACGUUAGCGGCGGACGGGUGAGUAACACGUGGAUAACCUACCUAUAAGACUGGGAUAACUUCGGGAAACCGGAGCUAAUACCGGAUAAUAUAUUGAACCGCAUGGUUCAAUAGUGAAAGACGGUUUUGCUGGCACUUAUAGAUGGAUCCGCGCUGCAUUAGCUAGUUGGUAAGGUAACGGCUUACCAAGGCGACGAUGCGUAGCCGACCUGAGAGGGGGAUCGGCCACACUGGAACUGAGACACGGUCCAGACUCCUACGGGAGGCAGCAGUAGGGAAUCUUCCGCAAUGGGCGAAAGCCUGACGGAGCAACGCCGCGUGAGUGAUGAAGGUCUUCGGAUCGUAAAGCUCUGUUAUUAGGGAAGAACAAAUGUGUAAGUAACUAUGCACGUCUUGACGGUACCUAAUCAGAAAGCCACGGCUAACUACGUG
rnacentral:rRNA from 1 species